rnacentral:rRNA from 1 species
GAGUUUGAUCAUGGCUCAGAUUGAACGCUGGCGGCAUGCCUUACACAUGCAAGUCGAACGCGAAAGGGGGGGCGAACUCCCUGAGUAGAGUGGCGAACGGGUGAGUAAUGCAUCGGAACGUAUCCUCGUAGUGGGGGACAACCUCGAGAAAUCGAGGCUAAUACCGCAUACGACCGACAGGGGAGACUCUGUGGGGGAAAGCGGGGGCUUGGGGCGACCCUGACCUCGCGCUACAGGCGCGGCCGAUGCCGGAUUAGCUAGUUGGUGGGGUAAGAGCCCACCAAGGCGACGAUCCGUAGCGGGUCUGAGAGGACGACCCGCCACACUGGGACUGAGACACGGCCCAGACUCCUACGGGAGGCAGCAGUGGGGAAUUUUGGACAAUGGGGGCAACCCUGAUCCAGCCAUGCCGCGUGAGUGAAGAAGGCCUUCGGUU